rnacentral:rRNA from 1 species
GACGAACGCUGGCGGCGUGCCUAAUACAUGCAAGUCGAACGCAGUGGGGACGGGUGAGUAACACGUGGGUAACCUCCCAUCACAGCGGAUAACACUUGGAAACAGGUGCUAAACCGAUAGUGACGGAUGGCCCCGCGGUGCAUUAGCUAGUUGGUGAGGUAACGGCUCAUCAAGGCCACGAUUCAUAGCCGGCCUGAGAGGGUGAUCAGCCACACUGGGACUGAGACACGGCCCAGACUCCUACGGGAGGCAGCAGUAGGGAAUCUUAGGCAAUGGACGCAAGUCUGACCGAGCCACGCCGCGUGAGUGAAGAAGGUUUUCGGAUCGUAAAACUCUGUUGGUCGGGAAGCGGUAUCUAACCAGAAAGCCACGGCUAACUCCGUGCCAGCCGCCGCGGUAAUUC